UCAAACCUUUCAUCUCCCUCCUUUUCUCUCCCAAAACCCUCAAGCCCUUCGACGUACUGUCCUUCUCCAUCUAUACGUCUCUCUAUUUUCACCGGCCACCGACCACAAGAACACGCAAUCUUCACCGAUCACCCACCACAGCCCACGCAACGUUUCGGCCAGCCACUGAAGGGAACUUUUCGUCCGGCCACGACACGUUUGAGCCAUAUGCUUUUCGAACGGCGACAUUUAAGCUAAGUAGAAGCUAUACGCGUUUCGCACGGUGACGACGACCUACAGUGACGUCGAAGCUACACGUUCUAGCUCUCGCGAAGGCCUCUGUUGAUUCGCCCCACUCUCUGCUGCUCCAUCGUCUGCCUCCGCCAGCGUUUGGUAUGCGGCUUGGACUUCUAGACUUUCUACCUUCCCUCACCUUAAAAAACGCCACCGCUUCCGCCAUUAACACCGAUUUCAACUAGUACAGAUGAAGUUACCUUCAUUCUCCUUAACUUCUUUACUCACUCAUCACCUUCCUUCAUAUUUAUCCAAUUUCUAAUUUUAUCUACAAAUUACCAUAUGUUUGUUACUACAAUUUGUCUUCUUAAUUAAUGUACUAAACCUAGUUUUGGAACACAAGGCAUGUCCAGAGGUUAUGUGAUGAACUGGCCAAGGUAGUUAAGAAAACUCAUGGAUUAAAUGUUAAGCCUCUUGCUGAUUUUGUUAUUUGCUGUGGUCAAACUGAGGCAUUUACUGCUGCUGUAUUUUCUGAUCUCUAGGAGUUGAGGAUAACUAUCGGUGAGACUUUAAGUUUAGAGUUAUCUAAGAGUGUUGUGGUGCUUGGAGGAAGGUGAUGUCUCUGUUUCUUAUUAUUACACUUUGUGUUUUAUGAUUAAAAACAAUGAUCAUAACUCGUUUUGUAAUAUGAAUAAGAACGAUGUUUAUAUGUUGUAAGUAUGUAAUGACCCUAAAUAUACAUUCAAGAUAUACAUGCAAUUAGUUAGUUCUUUGAUUGAAAGUUUGGGUUAAUUUAAGAAACUUAAAUAGGCCAAUUGAUGGAAAGUUUAAAUUCUAGCUUAUUGAAGAUUCUUGACAUAUAAUUCUUGUGAUGAAGUUGGUGUUAUUGCAUGUUGCUUAGUGAUAAGUUGAUGUGUGCAAUUAAGUUAUUGUAGGUACUUAUAUUCACUCAUUAUUGAUUUAAAGAAGUACUACAAGAAAUCGAGAUUUUCCCGACGCCGAAAAACGUCGGAGGAAGUGAAAAUACGUCGGGAAAGGACUUCUGACGCAGUCCUCGACAUCGGGACAAACGUCGGGGGAAGUGAGUCGGGAUAGGCUUUUCUGACGCUGUGUUGGUCACGCGUCGGGAAAGCCUCUCCCGACGUCAUCUUUCUCGACCCAAUCCACGACGUCGGAAAAUCCUCGUCUACUUCUUUCCUGACGCCAUGUACUGCGUCAGGAAAGCCUCCCCCGACAGGCUUUACUGUGCAGCUUUGUUAAGGAACCGUUAUGCCGACACUAUACUGAAAGCUCGAGAAAAGGCACUUGAAAAGGUGACAAACGGGAUCCUGAAAAAGUGAGAAUGGAGAGAGAAGAACUUGAAAGACAGCAAAGAGAAGGUUGGCAGCGAGCUACGGACGGAGCUGAAGUUGCGGCAACGACGACGGACGGCAACGACGAUGGAACGGACGGCGGCGAGCUACGGACAGCGACGAAUGUUUCUCUCUUCUCCAAACCCUUUCUCUUUCGUUUUCAGUUUUGUGUAAAACAGAAACGAAAUAAAUAAUCAAGGGAUUUCCCGACGCACUACAUACGACGUCGGGAAAACCUAGACCUUUUCCGACGCACUACUUACGGCGUCAGGAAAGGUUUUCCUAACGCAUUACUUACGGCGUCGGGAAAACCUAUGCCUUUCCCGACGUACUACUUUCCUUUCCCGACGCACACUUACGACGUCGGGAAAACCUAGGCCUUGGGAAUACCCUUAUUUUCCACGUGAGGCUUUUCCCGAUGCACUACUUACGGCGUCGGGAAUACACCUUAUUUCCCGACGUCUUGUGUCCGACACAUGAAUUGUGCGUCGGGAAACCCUCUUAUUCUCGACGUCUUACUUUAUGCGUCGAGAAUAGUUUUUUCUCUCGACGUCUUACUUUAUGCAUCGGGAGAACCUCUUAUUCCCGACGUCUUUUCCGAUUUCUUGUAGUGAAGGUUUCAAAGUACGUUUUUGUAGAUCCAUCUCUUAUUUUAGUUGGCCAUAGUACUAGAAAUUGAGCUCGAAACCUUUGUAGUAGAUUAAUGACUUUCAAACAAGAUCAAUUGGUUGUUGCUCCUUAUAAUCUUGGAUAAGUAUAAUUUUUAUCAAUUCAAA